GGGGCCGUAGCUCAACUGGGAGAGCGCCUGCUUUGCACGCAGGAGGUUGCCCGUUCGAUCCGGGUCGGCUCCAC
rnacentral:tRNA from 1 species